GGCAUUCAGUUAUUGACCCGCCGAGGUUUGGGAGCCGUGCGCGCGCAUCGGUCCAGAGCUAGACGCUAGAUCUCUAGACCUUUCCUAGCCGCGAUGCCGGCUCCCUGCGAAUCAUGUAAAGACACGUGCGGCAGCGGCACGGCCGCGUGCGGCGCUGGCUGCACUUGCGGCCCUAGCUGCGCGUGCGGCGAUGGGAAGCCCUCUGGGGGCAAGCCUUGCUGCCAAGGAAAGUAGUCUCCAAUCUUCUUAGAUCUACAACAUCUUUUCAACAUGCAAAUUUACUUAGAACAUAUUAUUUAGAUGUUAGUUACAUAUUAUAAUUAAUGUAAAGUAGAGCUAUUUAUCGCAAACAUUUAACUCAGUAAUGGAAAUUCUACUUUUUAAUAUCUAUAGGUGUUAGGUCAAUGUUGUGUCGUCAUCAACAUAAAUGUUAGAUGUUAAGAUUACAUUUAAAGUAUUAAAAAUUAAUCUUAUUAAUUACAUAUUAAUAUUAAUAUAAUAUUAAGUAUAUUAAAGGCUAUGUAUUGUUAGGCUAGUUAUUUGCUUAAAUGCAUUUUUAAUAUAUAAUUAGUAUAUAAGUGUAGUAUGUAGUUUUAUCACAUUCAAUGGAUUAAAACGCUUCUUCGAAAGAGAAUAUUUAGUACUGUAAUACUCAUUAAUAUUAAGGUUAUGCGCAAUGUGUAAGCGCACGCACACACGCAUAGUGCUAUGUAAGUGUAUGAUUAUGGUUCAAUAAAGGUAAACCCAAACCAA